UACGUAGGUGACAAGCGUUGUCCGGAUUUACUGGGCGUAAAGAGCGCGCAGGCGGUCGAUCAAGUCGAGUGUGAAAGCCCCCGGCUCAACUGGGGAGGGUCAUUCGAUACUGAUCGACUCGAAGGCAGGAGAGGGUAGUGGAAUUCCCGGUGUAGUGGUGAAAUGCGUAGAUACCGGGAGGAACACCAGUGGCGAAGGCGACUACCUGGCCUGUUCUUGACGCUGAGGCGCGAAAGCUAGGGGAGCAAACGGG
rnacentral:rRNA from 1 species